rnacentral:rRNA from 1 species
ACACGGGAUGCCUUAGUACGGCGAGUGAAGCGGCAAAAGCUCAAAUUUGAAAUCUGGUACCUUCGGUGCCCGAGUUGUAAUUUGGAGAGGGCAACUUUGGGGCCGUUCCUUGUCUAUGUUCCUUGGAACAGGACGUCAUAGAGGGUGAGAAUCCCGUGUGGCGAGGAGUGCGGUUCUUUGUAAAGUGCCUUCGAAGAGUCGAGUUGUUUGGGAAUGCAGCUCUAAGUGGGUGGUAAAUUCCAUCUAAAGCUAAAUAUUGGCGAGAGACCGAUAGCGAACAAGUACAGUGAUGGAAAGAUGAAAAGAACUUUGAAAAGAGAGUGAAAAAGUACGUGAAAUUGUUGAAAGGGAAGGGCAUUUGAUCAGACAUGGUGUUUUGUGCCCUCUGCUCCUUGUGGGUAGGGGAAUCUCGCAUUUCACUGGGCCAGCAUCAGUUUUGGUGGCAGGAUAAAUCCAUAGGAAUGUAGCUUGCCUCGGUAAGUAUUAUAGCCUGUGGGAAUACUGCCAGCUGGGACUGAGGACUGCGACGUAAGUCAAGGAUGCUGGCAUAAUGGUUAUAUGCCGCCCGUCUUACAACCCGAAAACA